rnacentral:lncRNA from 1 species
UUUUUUUUUUUAAUUAGUUAAGACAUUCAUUCUAAACACUAUCCUUGGGACGCCUGGGUGGCUCAGUGGUGGAGCGUCUGCCUUCAGCUCAGGGCAUGACCCUGGGGUUCCAGGAUUGAGCCCCACAUCAGGCCCGCCAUAGGGAGCUUGCUUCUCCCUCUGCCUGUGUCUCUGCCUCUCUGUGUCUCUCAUGAAUAAGUAAUAUCUUUAAAAAAAAAAAAAGAAAGAAAGAAAGAAAAAGAAAGAAAGAAAGAAACAAACCCCAACACUAUGCUUUCCACUAAAAGUUAGAUCUGUUUCUGGACUUUCUAAUCAAUCUUGAGCUCUGCUCACCAACAAAAAUUCUUAUUUCCAGAUAGAAUAUUUUUUUUCAUUGCCCACAAUAGGUUUUAUGCAGACUGCUGCCUAUAUACACAUUGUUCUCCUAGCCUGGAACAUCCUCUUACCUUCCCUCCACAGAUUCUUCAAAGCAAAACCAUUUCUGAGGUAAGUAGUAAAUGCUAAAAAAAAAAAAAAAAAUUAAUUUAAAUUUAAAAAAAAGUAGUAGUAAAUGCUGGGGUGCCUGGGUGGCUCAGUUGGCAGAGCAUGCAACUCCUAAUCUCAGGGUCAUGAGUUCAAGCCCCACAUUGGGUGUAGAGUUAACUUUAAAAAAAGAAAUAGUAAAAAAAAAAAAAGAAAGAAAGAAAAAAAAGAAAUAGUAAAUGCUAUUUAAAACAAGAAAUGUUUUUUAAAAAAUAUUUAUUUAUGUUUUAGAGAAAGAGAGUGAGCAGGAGGGGGAGUGGGAAGAGAAAGAAUUUCAAGCAGACUUCACAUUGAGCAUGGAGCCUGACACAGGACUCAGUCUCACAACCCUGAGAUCAUGACCUGCAAUCUUGACCUGAGCUGAAACCAAGAGUCAGAUACUUAACUGACUGUGCCACCCAGGUGCCCCACACAAGAAAUGCUUUCAAAGGAGAGAAAUAACAUAAAAGAACACAUCAGAGGUUCUAAAAAUACUUUGUGUGGCUAAAGUGGAUGAAUUUUUACUCAGCAGAACCAUUUCAGUGGGCUUUGGACAUAUGGAAGUAAGUUUGGAAGACAGAGUAGAAUUCAAUUGCUUUGCAUAACAGAAGAAGUAGUAUCGGGAAUAUUUAGUGGCAACAGAGUUAGGAAAGUUUGCAGAGGAAUGAUUAUAAGAGACCAAAGCCCUAGGUACAUGGGUGAUAUACAUAGUGAUGAAUCUCUAAUGGAGAUAUAGACAAAAAAAUACUUUAAGGGAUAGGGAUAGCCAGUAUUAGAAUUCAAGUUGCUGCUUUCCGGCAAUGUAAAACACUCUCCAUUAUCCUAAAUCUUUAAUAAAGUCUGCUACACACAUACAGGCUUUAGCUGGGAGAUAUUUGAGCUCUACAUCUGGGUGAAUGUGGAUGGAAACAGAGACAGCAUGCUUGAGACAGUAAGACCAUCUAUAAUCUGAACUAAUUUAGUGGAAGCAAGAGCUCAAAAUUAGAAUGACCGUAAAUACAUGAGCUCCUAGGAAUUUGAAGAAUCUGGGUGAAGGAAUCAGACUCUACAAUCUGUAGAAUGACACUUUGAGCCAAAUUUUUAGGGGAAAAGAUGGUUCCAGCUAACUAAUGGGUUACAUUAAUAUACUCAAUCUUCAGAAGCUUUUAAAAAGGACCAAACUUGGGACACCUGGGUGGCUCAGGGUGUGAUCCCGGUCUGGGGAUCAAGUUCCACAGCAGGCUCCCUGUGAAGAGCCUGCUUCUGUCUCUGCCUGUGUCUCUCAUGAAUAAAUAAAUAAAAUCUUAAAAAAAAAAAAAAAAAAAGGAGGACCAAACUGGGGCACCUGGUGGCUCAGUAGUUGAGCCUUUGGCUCAUGUCAUGAUCCUGGGGUCUGGGGAUCAAGUCCUGCAUCAGGCUCCGUGCAGGAUGUAUGCUUUUCCCUCUGCCUGUGUCUCUGCCUUUUUCUCUGUGUCUCGAAUGAAUGAAUGAAUGAAUGAGUAAAUAAAUAAAUAAGUAAAUCUUUAAAAAGGACCAAACUACAUGAGGUUCAGUGGUGAUUUACAGAAGAGACCAGUGGGGGAGGUACUAGUUACUCUGCUUGCACAAGAAAUAAUCUGAGGAUUUUACUCCAUUCCUUCCCCACUCCACAUGCUCCCAUCGGGGUGUUCCAGUCCCUACCUUACUUAGUGUGUCCUUAGUCAACAAUCAUCUCUUCCAUGAAACUUUCUCCCAAGGUUUUAGCUCUCAGGUGAUCCCUUUCCAAAACUUCCAUUUUACCUAGAAUCUGAACCUCGGUGUAACCUUUACUUGUCCUUUUUUUUCCUAUUUGUUAACUUCUCUACUAAGUUCAACUAGAGAUGCCUUGCAGACAAGGACCCCAGCGAGAGAGAAAGAGAGAGUGAGCACAUGCACAAGUGAGACAGGGAGGGAGGGAGGAAGGGACAUUCUAAACAUCUUACAUUACAUUCAGAGCCUACUUAAUUCCUGGUGGGAAAACAGGGAAGACAAUGAUGCAGAAGCAAGACUACUAAUGACCCUGGAGGAUUAUAGAAAGUUACAGUUAUCACACUUAUAGCUACAUAUACAGCUAUCACAGCUACAGCAUACAUAUAGUUUUAUAUGCCAAUACUUAUAAAUACCUACAGAAGGACCAAAUAACUGGCUCUACUGAAGAUCUCUAAAUGACUAUUACAAGCCCUCUUCUGACAUUCCUGUGAGCUCACUCUCUGAUCUUCAGUUAAAACCAUAGCAUUUCAGGGGAUCCCGGGGGUGGGGUAGGGUGGGGGGGCUCAGUGGUUUAGCGCCUGCCUUCGGCCCAGGGUGUGAUCCUGGAGUCCUAGGAUCGAGUCCCAGGAUUGAGUCCUGCAUUGGGCUCCCCACGGAGAGCCUGCUUCUCCCUCUGCCUGUGUCUCUGCCUCUCUCUCUCAUGAAUAAAUAAAUAAAAUCUUAAAAAAAAAAAAAAAAAAACAUAGCAUUUCAGAGGAAGUGGCAGAAAUGGACAGGAACCCUAGACCAAGGCCCCUAGGGUGGGGCCUAUGGGUAGAAGAUGCUAACUGUUGGAUGAACAUCAUAUCUAAGCGUGAGAUCAAAGCUAAACCUUUGUAUAUAGUUUGUUUCAUGAUUAGGUCAUCCAACUCUGUUAAAGACUGGCCAACCAAAGAUCUCACUCAUGAUAGUAAAGACACAUACAUACACCAGGAUCUCAAAAGGACCUAAAAUUUCUUAAUCAGAAGUCUUAGUUGGAGAUUUCUGUCUGCUUCAAGUGGUCUUUUCCAGGCUGUCCCAGUAGAGAAUGGCAUACAAAGGAAAUAACUAGUUUCCUCUUUGGUUGGUUACCAGUUCUGCCAGCUAGAGCUCCAGGCACCUGGUCAACCCCACUGUCAGAUUUAAAUGCUCUCCACCCACAAGACUGCCCUGCCUACCGUGCAUGCAUUUAUCUCCACUGAAAAGUUGAAAAAAGUAAUCAUCUAGACUACCCCUGAGCUAUAAGAGAGGGAUUUCAUAGGGAAAGUACAAAGUUUACAAUGUCAUAAUCAUUCCAUAAAAAAUGAGCUCCAUCCCAGUUAGCACUGAUCUCGUAUGUGAAGUCAAAAUCCUGAACUAGCAAUAAGACUUGAAACUGAUGCUGAGAUGAUUACUCCCAGAGUGAGACGGAAGGGGUGCUCAGGAGUGCUGGAGAAAUCCUAGAAGAGGUCAAACCUGGGGAAAGAAGCCUCAGAGAAGCCUUCCUUGGAUCCAGAAGCUGAUGACAUCACCCUACUCAGUACUUCCUUUCUUCCUGUUUUAACUGGAAGAAAGAGGAAGAAGAUCCAAAUGUAGGAGAAAGAAUGUAGAAUCCCUACCUCCUCCCCACCUUACACAUACACUCCAGAUCACAGCUGUCCUUACACAGAUGCCAUACAGUUAAGUAGUCAAACACAUGAUGUGAUUCCAGCAGAAAGACUGGUAAAUACUAGGUGCUCAGUAGGCAUGUGCUGAAUGAAGAGGACCAAGAGAGAUUUCCUACCCCCAAAUAAUGUUUUUUCACUGACUGUCACAUUACCUUCACCUGGAAUUCCUCAGUUUGAGAUCUACUCCUUUAGGAUAAAGCCUCAUACUUUCCAAAACUGUGCUGCACCAAACACCAUACUCCAUGAGAUUUUAAUAUCACUUCAAAAAAAAAUAAUGGUUCUCAGGACACCUGGGUGAUUGUCUGCCUCCAGCUCAGGUCAUGAUCCCAUGGGUCCCUCCCCACAAGCAGGGAACCCACUUCUCCCCUCCCUCUGCGUGCCACUUCCCCUGCUUGUGCUUUCACACAUGCUCGUUAAAUAAAUAAAUAUUCUCUAGUUAACUAAGUUUGGAAAAGGUUAUAUUCUCUAUCUCUCUUUUGAAGCUUUACAAAUGCAUAUUAAAAGCUGUUUUUGAGGCAGAGGCAGUUGGAGAACUAGCAUGAAAUUCAGGACAGGGCCCAACUAAGCUAAGAAGCUUGUUCCAGAAGUACAGCUGAGAAGACUAGCAUGACAUCCAAUUCGCCCAAAGAGUAGCAGGGAGAGUUCAGUGUGUUCAACAACUGGGAGAUCUGUGCAUGGGUAAGACCCUACCUACCAAAGCCUAGAUGUAAGAAAAGUCUCUAGUAGGGGGAAUGGGUGGGCGGGUGGGAGGAAUCUCUGGUAUCAGAGAAGGGACCUGGCCUGAGAGAGGCUGGAAAGCAAAAGUCCCAGCCCCUGGUGAGGGGUUGACAGCAGAGUUUUAGUCCUAGACAAGGCUAGGGGGUCCAAGCAGGGCAACUGGACAGAGUCUGAUCCUUUUAGGGAAAAGCCAAAAUAAAGGUGAGAUGGAGGAGAGGCAGAGUAAUGGACAGAGCUGUCCCUCACAGUACAGUACACCUAUUCAAGAGUCCCUCCCUGCUGGGGGCACUGGCUCCCAAAUCCUGGUGAUUAGAAGACCUAGCUAUUAAAAAAAAAAAAAAAAAAA